rnacentral:rRNA from 1 species
GACGAACGCUGGCGGCGUGCUUAAUACAUGCAAGUCGAACGGAAAGGCGCUGCUUUUGUGUGGUGCUCGAUUGGCGAACGGGUGAGUAACACGUGAGUAUCCUGUCCUUGACUGUGGGGUAACUUCACGAAACUCCGGCUAAUACCCGAUAGGAGCUCCUGCUGCAUGUGGGUGAAUGGAAAGAUUCGGCGGUUGGGGCUGGACUCGCAGGUUAUGAGCUUGUUGGUGGAGUAGUGACUGACCAAGGCUUAGACGGGUAGCCCGCCUGAGAGGGUGGACGGCCACAUUGGUACUGCGAGACGGCGCAGUCUGCUACGGGAGGCAGCAGUGGGGAACAUUGCACAAUGGGCGGACGCCUGAUGCAGCAACGCCGCGUGCGUGAUGACGUCUUUCGAGGUGUAAACCGCUUUCGCCUGUGCCGUAGCGAGCGUGACGGUAAUGAGUAAAGAAGCACCGGCUAACUACGUG